AGUGAACGCUGGCGGUAGGCCUAACACAUGCAAGUCGAACGGCAGCACAGUAAGAGCUUGCUCUUACGGGUGGCGAGUGGCGGACGGGUGAGGAAUACAUCGGAAUCUACUUUUUCGUGGGGGAUAACGUAGGGAAACUUACGCUAAUACCGCAUACGACCUACGGGUGAAAGCAUGGGAUCUUCGGACCUUGCGCGAUUGAAUGAGCCGAUGUCGGGUUAGCUAGUUGGCGGGGUAAAGGCCCACCAAGGCGACGAUCCGUAGCUGGUCUGAGAGGAUGAUCAGCGACACUGGAACUGAGACACGGUCCAGACUCCUACGGGAGGCAGCGGUGGGGAAUAUUGGAAAAUGGGCGCAAGCCUGCUCCAGCCAUACCGCGUGGGUGAAGAAGGCCUUCGGGUUGUAAAGCCCUUUUGUUGGGAAAGAAAAGCAGCAGGUUAAUACCCCGCUGUUCGGAGGGAACCCAAAGAAUAAGCACCGCCUAACUUCGG
rnacentral:rRNA from 1 species